rnacentral:rRNA from 1 species
ACGAACGCUGGCGGCGUGCCUAAUACCUGCAAGUAGAACGCUGAAGGAAGGAGCUUGCUCUUUCUGGAUGAGUUGCGAACGGGUGAGUAACGCGUAGGUAACCUGCCUGGUAGCGGGGGAUAACUAUUGGAAACGAUAGCUAAUACCGCAUAAAAUUGAUUAUUGCAUGAUAGUCAAUUAAAAGGUGCAACUGCACCACUACCAGAUGGACCUGCGUUGUAUUAGCUAGUUGGUGGGGUAACGGCUCACCAAGGCGACGAUACAUAGCCGACCUGAGAGGGUGAUCGGCCACACUGGGACUGAGACACGGCCCAGACUCCUACGGGAGGCAGCAGUAGGGAAUCUUCGGCAAUGGAGGGAAGUCUGACCGAGCAACGCCGCGUGAGUGAAGAAGGUUUUCGGAUCGUAAAGCUCUGUUGUAAGAGAAGAACGAGUGUGAGGGUGGAAAGUUCACACUGUGACGGUAUCUUACCAGAAAGGGACGGCUAACUACGUG